rnacentral:rRNA from 1 species
UGUUGCUAGCGCAGUGUCGCAGGGAAGCCGUUAAGUUUGCCGCCUGGGAAGUACGUACGCAAGUAUGAAACUUAAAGGAAUUGGCGGGGGAGCACCACAAGGGGUGAAGCCUGCGGUUCAAUUGGAGUCAACGCCUGAAACCUUACCCGGAGAGACAGCAGAAUGAAGGUCAAGCUGAAGACUUUACCAGACAAGCUGAGAGGUGGUGCAUGGCCGUCGCCAGCUCGUGCCGUGAGAUGUCCUGUUAAGUCAGGUAACGAGCGAGAUCCCUGCCUCUAGUUGCCACUAUUACACCCUGGUGUAGUAGGGCGAAUUAGGGGGACCGCCGCAGUUAAUGCGGAGGAAGGAAGGGGCCACGGCAGGUCAGUAUGCCCCGAAACUCUGGGGCCACACGCGGGCUGCAAUGGUAACGACAAUGAGUUCCAAAAUCGAAAGACAGAGGUAAUCCCUAAACGUUACCACAGUUAUGAUUGAGGGCUGCAACUCGCCCUCAUGAAUAUGGAAUCCCUAGUAACCGCGUGUCAUUAUCGCGCAGUGAAUACGUCCCUGCUCCUUGCACACACCGCCCGUCGUUUCAUUGAAGUUUGCCUUUAGCGAGGUGAUGUCUAAUUGGCAUUAUCGAACUUGGGGUAAGUGACAAGGGAAAAGUCGUAACAAGGUGACCGUAGGGGAACCUGCGGUCG